rnacentral:tRNA from 1 species
GCCUGGGUAGCUCAGACGGUAGAGCAUCAUACUUUUAAUCUGAGGGUCCAGGGUUCAAGUCCCUGUUCAGGCG